rnacentral:rRNA from 1 species
UCGACGGUCCUUUCGGGGAUAGUGGCGGACGGGUGAGUAACGCGUGAGAAUCUGCCUUUAGGACGGGGACAACAGUUGGAAACGGCUGCUAAAACCCGAUGUGCCCUUCGGGGUGAAAUAUUUAUAGCCUGAAGAUGAGCUCGCGUCUGAUUAGCUAGUAGGUGAGGUAAAGGCUCACCUAGGCGACGAUCAGUAACUGGUCUGAGAGGAUGACCAGUCACACUGGGACUGAGACACGGCCCAGACUCCUACGGG